rnacentral:rRNA from 1 species
GAUGAACGCUGGCGGCGUGCCUAAUACAUGCAAGUCGAGCGAACAGAUAAGGAGCUUGCUCCUUUGACGUUAGCGGCGGACGGGUGAGUAACACGUGGAUAACCUACCUAUAAGACUGGGAUAACUUCGGGAAACCGGAGCUAAUACCGGAUAACAUAUUGAACCGCAUGGUUCAAUAGUGAAAGGCGGCGUUGCGGUCACUUAUAGAUGGAUCCGCGCCGUAUUAGCUAGUUGGGAAGGUAACGGCUUACCAAGGCAACGAUACGUAACCGACGUGAGAGGGUGAUCGGCCACACGGGAAGUUAGACACGGUCCAGACUCCUACGGGAGGCAGCAGUAGGGAAUCGUCCGCAAUGGUCGAAAGCCUGACGGAGCAGCGCCGCGUGAGUGAUGAAGGUCUUCGGAGCGUAAAACUCUGUUAUCAGUGAAGAACAAAUGUGUAAGUAACUGUGCACAUCUUGACGGUAACUGAUCAGAAAGCCACGGCUAACUACGUG